rnacentral:lncRNA from 1 species
GUCACUGUCAGGCAGAGCGGCCUGGGACAGGUUACUAUCUACACAAUGAGCCCGUGUUGCUGUGUGGCUACUACACUCUCACACUGCCUGAGAUUCAUGCCAACAGGGGCCCGGUCAGCUACAAAACAGAUAUUCUGCAUUCACCUCAAAGGUAACAGGAACCAGGAAAAGCCAGGUCCCCUCCACUCAUGCGGAUCUCAGAUCAGAGGGUGGUGCAGUCACUAGCUCUGCAUGCAUGUCAAAGCAAGGCUGAAGGACCUGACUGCCUCCUACACUCCAGCCAAGCCCCAUCCUCCCACCUCCUGCCCCCUCACCCCUGCCUGCUCUUUCAGUUCACACUGAGAAUAGAAGCCAAUCAUCUCCCUCCAAGCAAGACCUAUGACAAAGGCCCAGCCAAGCCACAUGGAUUUACCAUCAGCAUGGUAGGAGCCCAGAGCUAUUUCCUCAGGAAUGGGUAUGAAUAUGCAGAGAAAAGUUGCCUGUUUGCUAUUCUGGCCCAAAGCUCUCAGGGUGAGGGUUCAAGUGUUCUGUGGUCAAAGAGCAAGAAGCAGCCAACACAUCCUCAGAAGAGCAAUCUGUUGUCAGACUCAGCGAGAGCUGAUUCAUUAAUAACGCUCCAGGGGCCCAUGGCACAAAGGCAUGUCCUAUGUGUCUGUUAGGUGACCUGCAUGGAACCUGCAGGAUAACCUGCUUGGUAGUUAAGAUAAGCAUUACUAACACUCCCACCUGACAGGUGAGCAACCAGAGCUUGGGACCUCUAAGGCAGAUCCUGGCCCCAGAUCUUCCAACUCCUAAAGAGGCAUGCACUUAGAACGGGCACCACCUUCCCCUGGAGGCCUGUCCAAUAAGCCACUAGCUGGUAUCUGCUCCCACUGUAGGUGCCUGACCAGGAAACCAUCUCUGGGACCACCACACGCCACUGCUCCCACCAUCAAGGCUGUACAUGUUUGUAGACCUGUUUAUGCUAACUCUUCCUGAUAUAAAUUUCUAACUAAACUAAAUCUUAAAUGAUGUAAAAAAAUUGCAUUUUAUCCUAGGAAAACUCAGUCAAAUAAUUUGGAAAGAAAAAUUAAAUGAAGGCAAAAAACUUUAAAAAUGGCUAAGCACUUAAGCACAACUUUUGAAGAUUAGAUUAAAAAAAAAAAAAAAAAAGUAGAUUUCUAGAAGGCUCCUGAUGUCUUUGCAAGUGUUUGUAAGUUUUCCUUUCACUUAGGAAAAAAAAGCCCAGAACUGUCAAUUUUAAGUGCUAGAUCAAGAGUAAGGCUAAAAUAAGACUCUAAGGACUACAAAUCAGCGGUCCCAUUCACAAAAGCCUGGGCUUGAAUGUCUGCUCACAGGCUUUAAUUAAAAUAUAAUUUUAAACUUUUCAAAUCAUUCCCUGCUUCAAUUGAACUGACCUUUUCAAUCACCCAACCAUCCAGAGGUCCCAACAGUAUCAGAUAAUAAGGCUCCUGCUAAAGUGUGAAAAUCACAAGAGGCACACACACUCUGUUGUCAUCUGCCAACUGAUUUCAAUCCCUUGGCCAGUGACAUCUAGAAAUUUCUGGGUUAUCAGUCAGGGAUAGGGCUUAACUCAAGUACAUUAAUUCUCAUUGUAAUAGGAAAUGUCCCUCUACAGAAGUUCAUCAGUAACACAGUCAACCUCAACUCAGUAAUUAACCCUGAAGAGUUUCUAGAAUGACGGUUGGUACCUAUAGACAGAUCUGUCCCCCCACUCCAUGCCUGGAAACAUUUCUAGGUGCCAUAACUGCGAGGGAAGAUUGUCACCAGCAUCUAGUGAGUGGGGGGUCCUGGGCUGCUGCUCCAUAUCCUCUGAGGCAGAGAGCCCCUCCUCAAUCACAAAGAAUGAUCCAGCUCAAAAUGCCAAGGGCCAAGGUGGAGAAUCCACCUUGGGAAAAGGAGUCCCAGGACCUACAAACACUAUGACAUCAUCAAAAAAGCCAGCCUCUGAAGAAACUAAAGGAAGAGCUGAUUUCUUCCCUCUUGAUUCAAACAUUACCCCCAGACAUUUCCACACCCUGGAGGCCAUGGAGACCAUGGCAAAGUCAGGUUGUUCUUCUGAACACACAUAAACAGAAUAUUUCCUGGUAUUCUUUUUUUUUUUUCUUCUUUUGUCUGAGCCCACAGCAUUUGGAAGUUCCCAGGCCAGGAUCGAACAUGUACCAUAGCAGUGAUCCAAGCCGCUGCAGCAACACCACCAGAGCCUUAACCCACUGCAUCACAAGAGAACUCCAUGGUAUUCUUAAUAAAACUCCCAAUCUCUCAGCA